GGCCACUGGAUGCCGAAACGACAUUGCCAACCAAGAUUCUCUAGAGAGAAUUUCUCAGACGGGAAUGAUCUCCCAAGGAAGUGGACUAAGUCUCAACCACCUUGUUCUCUGCAGUUUUCAGUUCAGUUAAGCUCUGGGAAUUGCAGGUACCAGCUUAAAAGAACAUCCACUUUAAAGACUAAGGGAGAUGCAAGUUUUGGUUUUGGCAAAGAAUCAACCAGGAAUUACAACAGAGAAUUGAAGUUCAAGGCAGAAAUUGAGCCAAGGUAG
rnacentral:lncRNA from 1 species